rnacentral:rRNA from 1 species
UGCGUAGGCGGCCCUAUAAGUAUGGUGUGAAAUCUCCCGGCUUAACUGGGAGGGUGCGCUAUAGACUGUGGGGCUGGAGUGUAGGAGAGGAAAGUGGAAUUCCUGGUGUAGCGGUGAAAUGCGUAGAUAUCAGGAGGAACACCGGUGGUGUAAACGGCUUUCUGGACCAUAACUGACGCUGAGGCACGAAAGCGUGGGUAGCAAACAGGAUUAGAUACCCUGGUAGUCCACGCCCUAAACGAUGCAUAUUUGGUGUGGGUCAUUCAGUUGAUCCGUGCCGGAGCUAACGCGUUAAAUAUGCCGCCUGGGGAGUACAGUCGCAAGGCUGAA